CUGGUGGGGGUGGGCUCGAGGUUUUAUUUUUAAGCUAGCUGAGAUGUCUGCCCCCUGCAUUAAUUCUGCUACGCGAAGACCGGGCACCGUGCUUCCCAGUACGCUUCUAGGCGGCCGAGGGAGAAAGCCCCUCCAGGCUCGCAGACCCCACCUUUGACUCGGUCGACAAGAAGGCAGCGUGCGUUCCCCGCCCUGUGCCCACCUGAGCGUCCAGCUCAGCCCUGAACGCUCAGGACACGGGAGGGGCUGGGAGGGGCCGCGGCACCGGCUCUGGAACCGUGGUCCCGAGUUCAAACUCCUGCCUCCUGGAACCGGGUGUGCCCUUGAGCAGCUUAAAUAUAACCCCUCCUGGCAAACUGUCUGCCCUUGUGAAACAGGGGCGGCCAUGCCUACCUUGCAGGUGCAGGAAAACUGGCAGUAACCAGCAAAGGAGCGGGUGCUCCCGGGCACUGCCUUCUUCAUGCAUCUGUGAUAGCUUCACAAAGCUGGUGGCCAGGACAGCAUCUCUGUCCUCUUGGGGUUUAUAUUCUAGGGAAGGAGACAAAAAGAAGGCAAAAUUAAAAACAAAAACAAAAACAAACACCGUUGACAGAUGGUGAGGAAUGCCAUGCAAAUGGAGGGUGUUGGGCGACAGUGUCCGGGGAAGUUCUGACCUAGGGAGGUAGGGACAUGUGAGCCACCACCACGCAGCAGGCACAGGCAGCAGGGCAGCGGGAGAAGCCAGCUGAGGCCAGCGCGUGUCAGACCCAGAGAGGGAGUCAAGAAUUUACCCCAAGAGCGAUGGGAAAGCCUUCGUGGGGAUUUAAGCAGCAAACUUCCUGCUGGGUCUUCUCCUCCACCCUAUUCGCAAGCCCAGUGGCACUAACAGAGGCAGACUCCCAGCUCUACUCACACCUCCGCCACCGCCACCCCAGUUUGGGUCACCCCUCACCCCUUGAUGGGUCUCCUGCUUCUGGCCUUGAACCACUUCAGCCUGAUCUCACAGCAGCGAGAGUGAGCCUGUUAAAACAAAUCAGAUCAUACCCUUCCUCUGCUCAAGAACCUGUUAUGGCUCCCAUAUCAGUCCGAAUAGAAGCCAAAGGCCUUAUGGCACCUAUGGGGCCUGAUCUGGCCACACCUCUCCCUUUAUCUCUCCAGCCUCCUUAUGGACUCCCCGUCCUCUCCCUCACCCUGCUAAGCUACAAUGGCCUCCUUGCUGGUCCUCAAACACACCAGCACCCUCUGCCUCAGGGCCUUUGCACUUGCUGGUCUCUCUUGCUGGGACUCUUUUAUCCCGUUAUCCACAUGGUUCACUCCCUACUUCUUCAGCUCCUCAUCUGGCCUUCCCUGACCCCCCCUCAAAAAUUGCAAAACACCCCAGUCCACUGCCCACCCUUGCCAGCACCUCCUGCUCCAUUUCUCCACUUCAGCUUUCUUCUUUGCCCUGACCGCCAUCUGACAGACUACCUUUCUUCCCUCCACCAGAAUGGAGGCUCCGUAAGAACAGAGACUUCAGUGUUCUGUUCCCUGUGGGUCCCCUGAGCCUAGACAGGGCCUGGCACAUGCAGCUGCUCUGAAGUUCAAGGCAAGACUCUAAAUCUGGGAUGCGAAGAAGCUGAAGCCCCCACGCGCAGUGUUGCGAAGGAUUGAAAGGAAAAUGAAGCAAGAACGUAAACGGACAUCGGGAUGCUGUGUUCCGGAGGAGGGAGGCGGAAGGCUGGACCCCCAGAGCCGGAGAAUUCGAUAUAAUUAAGGAUCUUAAGACGAGAUCAUCCUGGAUUAUCCGGAUGGACCCUAAAUCCGAUGACAAAUGUCCUUAUAGAAGAAAGACAGAAGGAGAUUUGCGACAGACGGGAGAGGAGGAGAAAGGAGAGGAGCAGCCACGUGAAGAUGAGGCAGAGCGGGGAGGGAGGCAGUCGUGAGCCUGGA
rnacentral:lncRNA from 1 species